UUUGAGUAGAAGGAGCUUUCGCUUGUUCCGUAAAUAAUGAAUGGUGGAGCUUCCGGCGGUGCCCGUGAAGGAUAUGUGCCUCCGCCGGAAUUCCUGGAAGAUGCGCAAGAAGCUCUGGUUGAUCUCGAUGCUUCCGGCUCCACUGAACUUUGGCUCAUUCAGUGGCCUAGAAAGAUGGUACCAUGACCGCUCGCUGUCCUUGGCCUCUGUUUUCCUCUGACGAAAUAAAGAACAAUGCCGGAUAGUACAUGGCUUGUCUAGUCUUCUCGCGUCAAAAUUGGAUUUUGCUCUUCCGAGAUUUUUAUGUUGCGGGUUAUGGGGGCUAGGAGAUACCAUCCAGCUCUAUUUUCAGCUAGAUGGCGCUCCUAAUUUUGAUGGCCAAGAACUCCCAACUCAAACUCGAUCACGACGGGAACUAGGGGACUUUUGAGGAUUUUUCUGGCAAGGAAUGCGAUUUGGUUAGUUCUGCUGCUCUAAAGCCCAGUACAACAGUUUUCACGUCCUCUUCCUCAGGUGGGCUGUGUCAUACUUGAUAUGUUCUAAGGCAAAUCAGCAAAAGUGGCUUCCUCUGAUAUUUGCUCUUCGAUAAUUUGCUGAUGCAAGUCACCAAUCAACUUCCAGAAACAGAAGGCGUGAAAAUGAAAAAAGAAACUACUUUGUGGAGCUAAACUCCAGUGAUAAUUCUUCCAUCAAUUGCAAUGAGUGUGUUGGCCAAUUUGCAGAGCCAGGAGUCGAGGCGCAACAAUUUAUCUGAAAUCCAGAUCAGUUUAGGCUAGCAGCAAGCAGUCUAUUACCUGAGACAUCUACUACCAAUUUAUUAUAACCUAGGCACUCUUCAGUCGUAGUAUCAAUUGCUUCCAUAUUGUUCUUGUCUUGUUUUUUGGUCACACUGGUUUCUUAUUAUUCAUGUUUGAUUUGAUAGACAAACUUUACUACAUCUGCUUAAAGCGCACAGUAUCGAUUGAGGCUACAUGGUUGGAACUGGAUUGAAUGUCCCUUUCACACUUCUUUUGCCUGCUUAGCCAUGCACUUCACUUGAUACUUUCUUAAAUAUUGCAUAUUAUGUUGUCUCUGCAUUCUUUUAUUCUAUGACCUCCGGUGCCUGCGUUUGCUGAUAUCUGGUUGCAUUGUGUACGCGUUAUGAUUUACUGGGUGGAGAUUUUUUUUAUUUAAUAUCAUUAAUUUGAGCAGCUGUUUUUCCAAGUUUAGUACUCAGAUUGGGAUGAAUGUUCUCUCCACCGGCAUUAUUAAGUUUAGCUGGUCUGCAUUCAGUUGUAGUUCGCUUUGCUUCUUAAAGAUAAUGCUUCCUAUUUUUAACAGUUGGGAAGAUUUCAAGGAGAGUCUCCCUGGUCUACUAUUAAGAUCCUAGUAAGCGCAAGAAACUCGCUUCUGAUGAUUUAAAAUCGUUGCAUCAGGAACCAUUCGGAACGUCAGUUACAGAUGCCUUCUGUCAAUUUUCCUGUGUGACAACAAACAGCAAAUGGAGAGGUUCACGUUCAUCCAGAGGAGCGGUCGGCAGGAAAGCGGUGUAGCUGAUGCUGAAGAGCCAUCGAAAACUUACAAGGAGACAUCCUCGUGAGUCCACUGCUUACUCGGGUUUGGGGAAUAGUAUUCGAGACUCAGGGCAUGGUCAUGGCAGGGCAACAACAUCUGCAGGAUUCUCGGAGAAUUCUCGAUAUCACGGUUCAGCUGCUUCAUCUCAAGCGAUGGAGCAUUCUGUCAAGAAAUCGAAGGACGGUGUUUUCUUGCCGAGCAUAACUUCUGAAUUGGAGCAAGGGGUUAUGUUCAUUGACAUAUGUUGUUGUUUUUUUUUUUUUUUUUUUAAGUUGCCGCUUCCUAGAGUUCAUUAGAUCUUUUAAUGAUGGAGUCUUUCCUUAAGCCAGGGCUUGGGAAGGCAAUCACGGAGAUUAGACCUUUCACCAACCCAUGUCGUUCUUGUUGUUGGUGACCCGCUGUUAAUUUCUUCGACUACCGCCAAGUCAUGAAAUUUUAAACUCGAUAUUUUUUACUGAAAUUUUUUG